rnacentral:rRNA from 1 species
AUGCACGCUGGCGGCGUGCCUCAUCCCUGCAAGUCGCGCGAACGGACGAGAAGCUUGCUUUUCUGAUGUUAGCGGCGGACGGGUGAGUAACACGUGGAUAACCUACCUAUAAGACUGGGAUAACUUCGGGAAACCGGAGCUAAUACCGGAUAAUAUUUUGAACCGCCUGGUUCAAAAGUGAAAGACGGUCUUGCUGUCACUUAUAGAUGGAUCCGCGCUGCAUUAGCUAGUUGGUAAGGUAACGGCUUACCAAGGCAACGAUGCAUAGCCGACCUGAGAGGGUGAUCGGCCACACUGGAACUGAGACACGGUCCAGACUCCUACGGGAGGCAGCAGUAGGGAAUCUUCCGCAAUGGGCGAAAGCCUGACGGAGCAACGCCGCGUGAGUGAUGAAGGUCUUCGGAUCGUAAAACUCUGUUAUUAGGGAAGAACAUAUGUGUAAGUAACUGUGCACAUCUUGACGGUACCUAAUCAGAAAGCCACGGCUAACUACGUG